CCUACGGGUGGCAGCAGUGAGGAAUAUUGGUCAAUGGACGCAAGUCUGAACCAGCCAUGCCGCGUGCAGGAUGACGGCUCUACGUGUUGUAAACCUCUUUUGUACGAGGAUAAACCCCGAGACGCGUACCCGGUUGAGAGUAUCUUACGAACAAGCAUCGGCUAACUCCGUGCCAGCAGCCGCGGUAAUACGGAGGAUCCGAGCGUUAUCCGGAUUUAUUGGGUUUAAAGGGUGCGUAGGCGGUUUGAUAAGUUAGAGGUGAAAUGCCGGGGCUCAACCCCGGAACUGCCUUUAAUACUGUUGGACUAGAGAAGAGUAGAGGUAGGCGGAAGGUGUGGUGUAGCGGUGAAAUGCUUAGAGAUCAUACAGAACACCGAUUGCGAUGGCAGCUUACCAAACUAUAUCUGACGUUGAGGCACGAAAGCGUGGGUAGCGAACAGGAUUAGAUACCCUUGUAGUC
rnacentral:rRNA from 1 species